GGGAAAAGGGAUGUUUCCCCACCUUUUAAUCUAACUAUCUAUCUGUCUGUCUAUCUAUCAUCAUAGAUAGUCAUUUUGCCUCCUGGACAGUUGGCUGACGAAGUGUCUGAUAAACCAGCUUCAGAUACAUGCUACAAAAGGCUACUGAGCUGGCCUGAUGAUGAUCCUUCUGAGAUAUAUUUAUAGCAGAUGAUUUGUGGAUGAUAACUACGCCAAGCAAGACACUGUCUCCAGUAACCCCAGGCUCGUCUGACUUCCUCAGGGGAUUAUAAUAAAGAAUCACAAAAAGAACCCUAUAUGGACAGUCUGGUCUCUGGACACUAACAACAGCACAAUCCAAAGGCAAAGAAAGGAGGAACCACCUUGUUUCAUGUCUGCAAGCUGCUCCAUAUGAAAGCAUUGCUGACAUGUUGACCCAACAGCAAAAAGAGAGCAGCAGUUUACACACCCUCAGCUCUCUGUCCUUUCCUUUCUAUUGAUGUUGGUCCACUUUUAUGACUGAAUACAUAUUAAAAUCACCAUUUCAAAUUAUAAAAAAAAAAAAAAAAAAA
rnacentral:lncRNA from 1 species